UAUCAUAAUGAUGUCUGCUCCGAAUCCUUCACCGUGUGAGGAUCUAUCCAUAAAGAUUUUCCAAACUUCCUCCUGUCGUAUGGGUUAGUCAGGCGGGAUUGUGAGCUCAACGAUAAAGUCCACGAAAGCUUGCACCUUAAUGGCCAUCCUUGGUUUGAACUCGAAGUCAAACUCACUUAAUUCGAUUACCCACUUUAACAUCCUUCUAGAUGUCUCACGUUGGUG
rnacentral:lncRNA from 1 species